rnacentral:rRNA from 1 species
AUGAACUUUAUUUUCAUGCAGCAAGAUGAGCAGGAAAGGCAGCAGAGAUUUAAAGAAUAUCAACACCAAGAGGAGCAAGCAACGAAAAAGGUUUGGGAGGAUCCUGUCGUAACACAGGUUAAUAGGGCUCAAGCUGCUACAGCAAGAGAAGAGGAGGUUAGUAGGGCUCAUUCUUCUACAGCAAGGCAAACCAUUGUGGAGAAAAGAAAGCUAGAUGAUAUGGAAGCAAUGAGGUUAAGAGUUGAUGAGGAGAGGUACAGGGCAUGGCUGCAAAAAGAAGAGCAGAUGGAGCAAGCAAACAGUCAACAAGGCACUUCCAACAAAAGAACUCUUCUCAGUCCGCAAAACACUCAAUUUAAGAUGCCAAGAAAAGUUAGUAUGUUUGAUUAUCUAAGGGAGUAG